GUAUCAACGGCCUGCCACCCUCUGGCCGGCGUGCAGCCUGUCCAGGAGGCGCCAGUCUAGACCUGCCACUGCUGGCCGGCGGCCGCAUUGAGCUUGCCCAGGAGGCGCCAGACCAGAACAGGAGCCGCCCAGGCCAGCAAAGGAGGCCACGGUGGGCAAACAGCCAAGUUACGGCGUUGUUUAAAUCAACCAGGGGCAUAAAUGUCAUGUUAAGUCUUAAUUACAUGAAUUAGAUAUGAAAAAUGCUUUAAAACAAAAGAAAUCAUAUAAUAGCAAAGUGUAAACGUUUCGGGUCAUAUUAUAGCGAUGUCUACAUUUGGAGUCAUAUAAUAGCGAAGCACAAUGUUUCAAGUCAUAUAAUUGCAAAUUUCUCUCAGGCUUUAAACACGCGGCAUCAACUAACCCACUCGCCGCAGUCCGGGUUCGAACCCUUCUAGCUAGCAAAAAAAAUAAAAUCACAAAAAAAGAACGAGUGGUGAGGCAGGCGAAGAGGCGCAACAAGGCCAAGGGUUGCCAGCACGUGCGGGAGGCCACCUGCAACCUCCAUGACUCCAUCGUUCCACGGGCAUGUAGUCGCUCCAGGCGGCAGAUGAGUUGGGGCGGAGCCACGCAGGCCACUGGCUACUACACGCCGAGGAUGUCUAGGCACCACGCUGCCAUGGGUGGAGCUCCUCCCUUCGCUCGCUCGAAUCCCCGCGGCCCC
rnacentral:lncRNA from 1 species